UCAGAACGUCGUGAGACAGUUCGGUCCCUAUCCGUCGCAGGCGCAGGAAAUUUGAGAGGAACUGACCCUAGUACGAGAGGACCGGGUUGGACGGAUCACUGGUGUACCAGUUGUCUCGCCAGAGGCAGUGCUGGGUAGCUAUAUCCGGAGCGGAUAAGCGCUGAAAGCAUCUAAGCGCGAAACCGGCCUCAAGAUGAGAUUUCCCACAGCAUAAGCUGGUAAGACCCCUGAAAGAUGAUCAGGUAGAUAGGCCCGAAGUGGAAGUACCGCGAGGUAUGGAGCUGACGGGUACUAAUCGGUCGAGGGCUUGACCU
rnacentral:rRNA from 1 species